UACGUAGGGUGCAAGCGUUGUCCGGAAUUAUUGGGCGUAAAGAGCUUGUAGGCGGUUUGUCGCGUCUGCUGUGAAAUUUCGGGGCUCAACCCCGAACUUGCAGUGGGUACGGGCAGACUAGAGUGUGGUAGGGGAGACUGGAAUUCCUGGUGUAGCGGUGAAAUGCGCAGAUAUCAGGAGGAACGCCGAUGGCGAAGGCAGGUCUCUGGGCCACUACUGACGCUGAGAAGCGAAAGCGUGGGGAGCGAACAGG
rnacentral:rRNA from 1 species